rnacentral:rRNA from 1 species
CAGUAGCCACGGUAAUACGAACCGUGCGAACGUUAUUCGGAAUUACUGGGCUUAAAGCGCGUGUAGGCGGGUCGGCACGUCGGUCGCUGAAAUCCCCCGGCUCAACCGGGGAAGUGGCGCCGAUACGGCCGGCCUGGAGGGGGGUAGGGGGGCCUGGAACUUCCGGUGGAGCGGUGAAAUGCGUUGAGAUCGGAAGGAACGCCCGUGGCGAAAGCGAGGCCCUGGACCCUUUCUGACGCCGAGACGCGAAAGCCAGGGGAGCGAACGGGACUAGAGACCCCUGUAGUCCCUGUCUCUUAUA